rnacentral:rRNA from 1 species
GACGAACGCUGGCGGCGUGCUUAACACAUGCAAGUCGAACGGAAAGGCCCUGCUUUUGUGGGGUGCUCGAGUGGCGAACGGGUGAGUAACACGUGAGUAACCUGUCCUUGACUUUGGGAUAACUUCAGGAAACUGGGGCUAAUACCGGAUAGGAGCUCCUGCUGCAUGGUGGGGGUUGGAAAGUUUCGGCGGUUGGGGAUGGACUCGCGGCUUAUCAGCUUGUUGGUGGGGUAGUGGCUUACCAAGGCUUUGACGGGUAGCCGGCCUGAGAGGGUGACCGGCCACAUUGGGACUGAGAUACGGCCCAGACUCGUACGGGAGGCAGCGGUGGGGAAUAGUGCACAAUGGGCGGAAGCCUGAUGCAGCAAAGCCGCGUGCGGGAUGACGGCCUUCGGGUUGUAAUCCGCUUUCGCCUGUGACGAAGCGUGAAUGACGGUAAUGGGUAAAGAAGCACCGGCUAACUACGUG